GGAUGUGAGGGCAAUCUGGCUGUGACAUCUGUCACCCUACUGAUCGCCAGGGUUGAGUCGGCUGAUCUGGCUGGCUAGGCGGGUGUCCUCUUCCUCCCUCACCGCUCCAUGUGCUUCCCUUCUGAAGCUGAGCGCUUGGUCUAAGAGGACGGCCUUCCCCAAAUAGAGACGGACCAGUCUUCGGCAGAGUAGCUGCGCUCCCCUGCUAGAACCUCCUAACAAGCUCUCAAAUUGAUUGCCUCUCUAAAUAGUCACCUAAUAUAGUCAUACUCUAACAUACUAGGGGUUAAUACAUGAUUUCAGGGGGCAAGGUUCAGCUUUGAGUAUCA
rfam:Erinaceus europaeus unplaced genomic scaffold scaffold00677, whole genome shotgun sequence